CCUACACACAUACAGCUCACACACACACAGUACACUAACCGCACCCUCACAAACACACACAGCACCUUUAAAAAAAACACAACACCCUCACACACAUCACACUAACAGCACCCUCACAAACACACACACACAAACAGCACCCUCACAAAUACAUGACACUCACACAAACAGUACCCUCACAGGACAAACACACACACACAGAGCACAGUCACAAACACACACACACA